CAAUGCCCUUGGAAAUCCCAAA
rnacentral:miRNA from 6 species